GUAGUUUUUCCUCUAAACUGUAUGUGAUCUAGGAAGAUUUGAAGAAACUUCAGAACAAGGAUGCGUUGAAAGAAUAGUAUUACUAAUUUCUAUUGAUGCUUUUGCUCAAAUGCCUUUAUGAGUAGUAGCAAUCGAUAAUGUAAUGGUACUCAGAAGGAAAAUGUGGAAACUUUAACCUCACUCAGCCAUAAACAUACGCAACCAACCAUGUCCAUUUUUUUUGAAGCAGGUUAGUUAAAUGAAAAAAUCAUGAGCAUUAGAUAUAAAUAAACACAAGUAGUAUUACUUUUGUAUUAUCUGUUAUCUUCUUACAUUAUUAAAAAAAAAGACCUGUUAUAUUGCUAAUCAAUGAUAAAGGAUUAAAAUAUUUUAACGAAAGAGGUAAAUAAAAUGAUAAUGAAACCAUAGAGGGGAACUUACACAAUAAAUUAGAAUUGUAUAUAUGUAUAUGUGUUACAUAGGAUUCUUCAAAGCUAGCUAUAACCAACCGGACCUUAAUAUCCUUGUAGAUAAGAUACCUUUCUUAAUUUCUGAACAACCACACAGUAGUAACCCCUAUCUCUCUCUCUUUCUCACACACACAAAAGCAGCAUAUAUACAUCAUUUUUUGGAGUCCCUUCCUUUAAUACAGUAUCUUUAGUUCAGAUGAAUACAAUAUACCUGCCUCAAAAGGUAUUAGCUUCAAGCGCGCGCGCACACACACACGGAGAGAGAGAGAGAGAGAGAGAGAGAGAUUGUAUGGAGUUCAUAAGAAGUCAUGAGCCCAUGAUAGUAGCAACAUACUAUUAUUAAACCAUGGUCAGUAAGUACAUAGGAAACGCUGCGGUAUAUUAUGCUCGGAGAGAGAGAGCGUAAAACCCCUCUUUAUCAUCUUAAACUACCUCCGUAUUAACUUAACAAAAAGCAUUAUUCUAGAAACUAAGACAACGAGUGUCAUGUCUAGAUAAAGAUAUAUAAAGCACUAACUGCACGCCAAUACUAUGACCUCAUCAUACUUCUAAAACCUCAGAGGCAAUCAUUAGGCCGCAGGUGCCACAUCAUCAUCGUCGUCGUCGUCAUCACCCUCGCCAUUGUUUUCUCGGUAGACCCGAUCAUCAAAUGCCACGUCCUGUGUCUCUCCAAAGACUAAACCACAGGGAGCCGACUUCUCAUUAAUGGUGACAACAGCCAUUGCAGUGGAGGAGGAGGAAAGUGGACAAAGGGAAAGAAAGAGCUGGUACUUUAUUUGGGGU
rnacentral:lncRNA from 1 species